rnacentral:sRNA from 1 species
AGAACUGGGACCACCGGGGGUGGUGAGGCGGCCUGGCACUGGGAGCUGCAUCUGAGGCUUAGUCCCUGAGUUCUCUGCCUGCCCAGACUAGCUGCACCUCCUCAUUCCCUGCGCCCCCUUCCUCUCCGGAAGCCCCCAGGAUGGUGAGGUGGUUUCACCGAGACCUCAGUGGGCUGGAUGCAGAGACCCUGCUCAAGGGCCGAGGUGUCCACGGUAGCUUCCUGGCUCGGCCCAGUCGCAAGAACCAGGGUGACUUCUCGCUCUCCGUCAGGGUGGGGGAUCAGGUGACCCAUAUUCGGAUCCAGAACUCAGGGGAUUUCUAUGACCUGUAUGGAGGGGAGAAGUUCGCGACUCUGACAGAGCUGGUGGAGUACUACACUCAGCAGCAGGGCGUCCUGCAGGACCGCGACGGCACCAUCAUCCACCUCAAGUACCCGCUGAACUGCUCCGAUCCCACUAGUGAGAGGUGAGGGCUCCGCACCCCCGCCACUCCCAAGCAGGGACGAGCCGGCU